CCAAUCACUUAGACCGGGUCAAUGAGCAAUUAAUAUGGUUCAUGGCCUAGGUUGGCGACCUCCAUUGCACUUCGGAGGGGUGCCCGCCUAAGGUUGGCCCAAGUGGUUGAGCCUACGUCAUCAUUUGUGCCAGUAAAGGCCUGUGUUUGCGCUGUCUCUAC
rfam:Helianthus annuus linkage group 17, whole genome shotgun sequence.